CCUACGGGUGGCUGCAGUGGGGAAUAUUGCACAAUGGGGGAAACCCUGAUGCAGCGACGCCGCGUGAGCGAUGAAGUAGUUCGGUAUGUAAAGCUCUAUCAGCAGGGAAGAAAAUGACGGUACCUGACUAAGAAGACCCGGCGAACUACGGGCCAGCAGCCGCGGUAAUACGGAGGGGGCAAGCGUUAUCCGGAUUUACGGGGUGUAAAGGGAGCGUAGACGGUCCGGCAAGCCAGAUGUGAAAGCCCGGGGCUCAACCCCGGGACUGCAUUUGGAACUGUAAGGCUAGAGUGUCGGAGCGGCAGGCGGACUUCCUCUUGUAGCGGUGCACUGCGUAGCUAUUCGGAG
rnacentral:rRNA from 1 species